UACGAAGGGGGCUAGCGUUGCUCGGAAUCACUGGGCAUAAAGCGCACGUAGGCGGCCUACUAAGUCAGGGGUGAAAUCCUGGAGCUCAACUCCAGAACUGCCUUUGAUACUGGUUGGCUUGAGUCCGGGAGAGGUGAGUGGAACUGCGAGUGUAGAGGUGAAAUUCGUAGAUAUUCGCAAGAACACCAGUGGCGAAGGCGGCUCACUGGCCCGGUACUGACGCUGAGGUGCGAAAGCGUGGGGAGCAAACAGG
rnacentral:rRNA from 1 species